rnacentral:rRNA from 1 species
GAGUUUGAUCCUGGCUCAGGAUGAACGCUGGCGGCGUGCUUAACACAUGCAAGUCGAACGGGAAAUAUUUCAUUGAGACUUCGGUGGAUUUGAUCUAUUUCUAGUGGCGGACGGGUGAGUAACGCGUGGGUAACCUGCCUUAUACAGGGGGAUAACAGUCAGAAAUGGCUGCUAAUACCGCAUAAGCGCACAGAGCUGCAUGGCUCAGUGUGAAAAACUCCGGUGGUAUAAGAUGGACCCGCGUUGGAUUAGCUAGUUGGUGGGGUAACGGCCCACCAAGGCGACGAUCCAUAGCCGGCCUGAGAGGGUGAACGGCCACAUUGGGACUGAGACACGGCCCAGACUCCUACGGGAGGCAGCAGUGAGGGAUAUUGCACAAUGGGCGAAAGCCUGAUGCAGCGACGCCGCGUGAGCGAAGAAGUAUUUCGGUAUGUAAAGCUCUAUCAGCAGGGAAGAUAAUGACGGUACCUGACUAAGAAGCACCGGCUAAAUACGUGCCAGCCGCCGCGGUAAUAC